AUUGAACGCUGGCGGCAGGCCUAACACAUGCAAGUCGAACGGGUGGCGGACUGGUGAGUAAUGUCUGGGAAACUGCCUGAUGUAGUGGUAUAACUGGUGGAAACGGUAGCUAAUACCGCAUACCAUCGGAUGUGCCCAGAUGGGAUUAGCGAGUAGGUGGGGUAACGGCUCACCUAGACGACGAUCCCUAGCUAGUCUGAGAGGAUUACCAGCCACACUGGAACUGAGACACGGUCCAGACUCCUACGGGAGGCAGCAGUGGUGAAUAUUUCACAAUGGGCGCAAGCCUGAUGCAGCCAUGCCGCGUGUAUGAAGAAGGCCUUCGGGUUGUAAAGCACUGUCAGCGAUGAGGCGUUACUCGCAGAAGAAGCACCGGCUAACUCCGUGCCAGCCGCCGCGGUAAUAC
rnacentral:rRNA from 1 species